UUUGUUGUCUGUUUUGAAUUGAAUACCAUGUUAAAUAUGUGAACUACUUGUUCAAUGAUUUAACUUUAUUAUCUGAAUGUGAUUCAUGCUUGUGCGUAUAUGUGUUACUAACUGCUGUGUUUUUUAUAAACAAUGAUUCUCUUAAAAAUGGAUUAUAGCAAAAUGAAUUUCUAAAAAUACAAAAGUAAUUUGAAAAAUUCUUUUAAUUACUUGAAAAUGAUAAAAAUAUCUUUAGGAGUUUUUAAAAUUUUAAAUAUAUCAUCCUCAUGAAAGCGCUAUUUUGAAAUAUUUUCUGAACGCAGUUAACUUAAAAAUUUCGUAUAAAUUUCAAAACUGCUCUGUAAAUUCCGAAACUUUUAUUUUAUUAGUUUUAUAAUAUUCGGGGAAUUAUAAUAAUAUUUUGGUAAUUUUUGGGUGAAAUUUUACUACGAGUUAUCUCUGUAAAUCAAUUAAGAGCGGGUGUAAGACAAUUGAUUAAUCAGUUUAGGGGAACAGAUGGAAACUUGGUGAUGUGCCACGCACGGCACACUUCCUCUUUCAUCUCGCCACGUACCUUUUCCCCCGAAUGCUGCUCUUCCUUUUAUAGUCCCUAAUUUCAAAACCCCAACCCUCGUUUAUGGUUUUCAAUCUCACAUCGCUUUCUUCCUUUGACAAAUUAACCCCUCGUAGCAUGUAUCCUUUCACCUCCACUCUAUUUCCAACGUCGUUUUCCGUUCCCACUGUUCAUUCUCGCCGCCACUGCUCUCCCUGUUGCUCCGUCUCUGCUGCCACGGUACACCGCCGCCGUUUUGCCGUCUCCAACGACCAACUCCAUCCUAGAAUCUGUUGAUUCGAACUACAGUGGGAAUAUAUAAAGACGUGUAUAUCGAGAUGUUCAGAAUUAAUCUGAUGAUGUUGCAAGUUGAAGCAAGAAUUAUCUGAGAAGACAAACAUAGAAAGAGUAUUGUCAGAAGCUGCUUAGAAAGAUAUGAUUGUGCGGUAUAGUGCUAUUAGAAUCGUGACUAGACAUCGGAGUUAAGCUAGGGAUAAAGAUGAUUCACUUAAGGCUAGGCAAGGAUUGCAAGUGGUUGAGUUUCAGGUAGAUGGUCAGGUAGAGUAUCCAGGACGAUGUCAUUAAGACUAGAUGCAGCUGGAAUCUGCAAUUCAGUUCAGUUGGAAAUUAGAUGUGUUAUUUGGUUAUCAGCUACCCUUCUUAUCGAGGUUUAGCUGAUAAUGCAGUUUAAUUUGUAAUUAAAUUUAAUAAUUUUAGUUUCUGAUUUCAAUGCUGUAACCUGUAUGCGAUCCUGUUUUCAGGGGGUUAAACUUUGUUCUUUUAAAAUCUUUUAUUAAAGCUUUUAGGUUUUAAAUUCUUUGGUUUUUAUAAGCUUUUCGAAAAUACAGGUUUUAAAUUAUUUUUAUUUACACGUGGCACCAGAUCCAGACCCCCGGAUUCCUGGGCUGUCACAGUUGGUAUCAGAGCUACAGGUUAUAAGUUAUUGAAAUCAGAAUGUAGAUUGUAAUAAUAGGUUUGAUAAAAAAAGAUUACAUGGUGUAACCUCACAUAGAGGCAUCGUAAGACUAUUUGGGGAUAGUCUUUCUGAGCAGAAUAAAAUGGAACGAGAUGAUUAAGUGUAAGUGUUAGACAUCACAAUUCCUAACUCUAGUUCUUCCAGUCCCUAAUAUAUUGACCAAUUUAGAGUUAAAUCAUUCUAAGAGGAUCGAAGUUAGACCUAUCAGCAGAACCUUCAAGAUAGAACCAGUUGAGGUCAGGCUGGUAGAGAUUCUCACAUAGUCUAAUAUAUCAUUUAUAGUAUAUGCCAAGUGUUGAGUAUUAUUUGGAGAGUCAUCUUCUGAUAGUUGUCAUAGAUAUCUAGAAUUGGUGAAAGAAUAGAGUUGUUAACAAGUCCGAGUUUAAAGCUUUGUAUAUAGUUAAGUAGUGAGCGUUAGAGCUACGUAGAAUUCGUGUUAGAUUCCUCGAUCUAGUACUCAUAAGCGAGUUAAGACGUCAACGCUCUAUGGUGAUGAUUGUAUAAAGUUGGAUAAGACUUCUGACUGACAACGCUAUCAAUGAUGGGAUCGUUAGAGGCUAUUGCUAGUCAACGAUAAUAUAUGCAAGUGAUCACAAGAACGUCAAGAAGAAUCACUAGAAUGAAAACGAGUUAUCAAAAGAAUCUAUCAAAAAGACAUUUUUGAGAAUCCUGACAAUACCUUCCACAUUGUUGAUUAUAUUGAUUUCUUUCCCCAUCAAUGAUUUGUUCUGACAUCACUUUCAUAAAGAUAUUCUAUAAAAAAUAUACUUUUACUUUUCAUCAUGUCGAACCCUUUCAUAUUCUCUACUCUAACUGAGGUGAACAACCCUACUUAUAGGGGACACAAGGACUAUCUGUCUGUGUGAUAGAAGUUGGAUGGGACGCCAUCACUUGUGUGUGUUGUAUAUACAAGAAGGUUAACUACCUUUAGUAGUGUCUUAAUCUAGACACGCAACACUGAGUUCUUUAGAUCAUAUUGAUCUCUCAGUUAUCUCUCAUUUCAAAUGAGAUUUAUUUAACACUCUCAUAAUCAUAUGACCACAAUCACGUGACAUUUGCUUCGAAAUAUGAAAUCUGUCAUACUUUUAAAUCUUCAAGGUUCUUGUUAUCUCUAAUAGUUUGGAGGUAUGCCAACCAAGUUGCCAACAUGAAUUAAGACUUUGUUGGAGGAAGCACCAGGGAUGAAAACGGAUGACAAUGCGGGUCGAUCAACAAAAAUUUUAUAUAAGAAAGAAAGAGUAUUACGGAUUACAGUGAUCGUACGCUCUAGUUUGCUUUUCGCUGAUUCCGAGGACGGAAUCCUUUUAAGGGGGGUAGAUUGUGACGACCCGGAUUUUUCAAAAUUUAUUUUGUUAGUUUAUUUGUCAUCCUUCAGAAAAUGCGGAAUAAAAUUUAAUAUUUUAUUUUAGUUUGAUAAAUUUUAAAAGUAUUUGUUUAAAUUAUUAUUCCGGUACCUUAAGUUAUCAAAAUUUUUGUUGUCUGUUUUGAAUUGAAUACCAUGUUAAAUAUGUGAACUACUUGUUCAAUGAUUUAACUUUAUUAUCUGAAUGUGAUUCAUGCUUGUGCGUAUAUGUGUUACUAACUGCUGUGUUUUUUAUAAACAAUGAUUCUCUUAAAAAUGGAUUAUAGCAAAAUGAAUUUCUAAAAAUACAAAAGUAAUUUGAAAAAUUCUUUUAAUUACUUGAAAAUGAUAAAAAUAUCUUUAGGAGUUUUUAAAAUUUUAAAUAUAUCAUCCUCAUGAAAGCGCUAUUUUGAAAUAUUUUCUGAACGCAGUUAACUUAAAAAUUUCGUAUAAAUUUCAAAACUGCUCUGUAAAUUCCGAAACUUUUAUUUUAUUAGUUUUAUAAUAUUCGGGGAAUUAUAAUAAUAUUUUGGUAAUUUUUGGGUGAAAUUUUACUACGAGUUAUCUCUGUAAAUCAAUUAAGAGCGGGUGUAAGACAAUUGAUUAAUCAGUUUAGGGGAACAGAUGGAAACUUGGUGAUGUGCCACGCACGGCACACUUCCUCUUUCAUCUCGCCACGUACCUUUUCCCCCGAAUGCUGCUCUUCCUUUUAUAGUCCCUAAUUUCAAAACCCCAACCCUCGUUUAUGGUUUUCAAUCUCACAUCGCUUUCUUCCUUUGACAAAUUAACCCCUCGUAGCAUGUAUCCUUUCACCUCCACUCUAUUUCCAACGUCGUUUUCCGUUCCCACUGUUCAUUCUCGCCGCCACUGCUCUCCCUGUUGCUCCGUCUCUGCUGCCACGGUACACCGCCGCCGUUUUGCCGUCUCCAACGACCAACUCCAUCCUAGAAUCUGUUGAUUCGAACUACAGUGGGAAUAUAUAAAGACGUGUAUAUCGAGAUGUUCAGAAUUAAUCUGAUGAUGUUGCAAGUUGAAGCAAGAAUUAUCUGAGAAGACAAACAUAGAAAGAGUAUUGUCAGAAGCUGCUUAGAAAGAUAUGAUUGUGCGGUAUAGUGCUAUUAGAAUCGUGACUAGACAUCGGAGUUAAGCUAGGGAUAAAGAUGAUUCACUUAAGGCUAGGCAAGGAUUGCAAGUGGUUGAGUUUCAGGUAGAUGGUCAGGUAGAGUAUCCAGGACGAUGUCAUUAAGACUAGAUGCAGCUGGAAUCUGCAAUUCAGUUCAGUUGGAAAUUAGAUGUGUUAUUUGGUUAUCAGCUACCCUUCUUAUCGAGGUUUAGCUGAUAAUGCAGUUUAAUUUGUAAUUAAAUUUAAUAAUUUUAGUUUCUGAUUUCAAUGCUGUAACCUGUAUGCGAUCCUGUUUUCAGGGGGUUAAACUUUGUUCUUUUAAAAUCUUUUAUUAAAGCUUUUAGGUUUUAAAUUCUUUGGUUUUUAUAAGCUUUUCGAAAAUACAGGUUUUAAAUUAUUUUUAUUUACACGUGGCACCAGAUCCAGAC